UGUGGGGGUAAAUAAAUACUUUUUGUAAUCGUAAGCAAAGCACUAACACACCAACACAUAUCUACUGAUUUUAUUAGAUUUUGUUAGAUCUUCAAUAGAUCCCACUUUAAUUAGUCAGUUGUUGCAACAGUCAUGACCAGAACUUAGCUAGCCCAUUACAAAUAUAUUCUGCCUGAGAUACUGUUUCUUUCAGCUAUCAACAUAAUAACAAUAUUUAGAAACGGUCUAAACUAAAACCAUAUUUUGUGGCAGUUUAAUCUAUGGUGCUGUUACGACUGGAAGAUGGAACAUCGUCUGUCAUUCUGCUGUUAUCUUUUGGUUUAUCUUCCACAUACAUUGCUACGAAGAGGAAACUUUAAAAUCUACUCCUAGAAUCCAUAAGACAAAGAAUAUCUAACAUGUUCUACUCAAAAAUAUUGCUGUUGCUACAGUUAAAAAACAGAAUAGUUUAUAUUAGUUUGCUUGUGUGGCUCUACUCAUGUUGUUGACUUUAAAGUCUCACAGGUCUCCACGACAUUCUCCCCCAAAAACACAAUGUAAAAUACAGACCGGUGACAAAUUAAAGGAAAACCUAACAUAAAGCCACCAGAACAGCUUUAAUGUGUCUUGUCAUAGAUUCUGCAAGUCUCUGCAACUCUACUGGAGGGAUGGAACAUUGUUCUUCCAAAAGACAUUCCAUCAUUUGGUGUUUUGAUGAUGUUGGUGUAGAGGGCUGUCUAACAUGUCGGCCCAAAAUCUCUAUAGGUGUUGACUUGGGUUUAGUUCUGGUGGCUGCGAAGGCCACAGCAUAUGAUUCACAUCAUUUUCAUACUCAUCAAACCAUUCACUGGCCCCUUGUGUCCUGUGGAUGAGGGCACUGUCAUCCUUUCCUCUUGCCAUCAUCUGAAAUCAAGGUCAAGCUCAGCAUUUUUCAUUGAUGCCACAGAGCGUGAUGGGAGAUGAAUUGCCUUAUUGUAUCAUGCAGUACACCUGUAUGGAAACAUCUGUAUUCGUUAUGUUCCUCCACUCAUUUAUUCAAGUUUUUUACCUGUUUGUGUGUGUAUAUACAGCUCCGGGAAAAAUUAAGAGACCUCUGCACCUUUUUCUUUCCUUUCCAAAGAAGUUGAAAGGGAAGGUUUUGAGGGAGGAACAGAAGCAUUCAAUUUGCAGUGGUCUCCUAAUUAUAACCCCUCUGUUCCUCAC
ensembl:lncRNA